AUACUUACCUGGUAGAGGAGAAUACCAUGAUCCCAAUGGUAUUUUUCCUGAGGUGAGGCUUGUCCAUUGCUCUCUGGAUGUGUGAACCACCUUAUAUUAUGUCUGUCACCUUAAUAGAUCGUAUUCAA
rnacentral:snRNA from 1 species